AGAGUUUGAUCCUGGCUCAGGACGAACGCUGGCGGCGUGCCUAAUACAUGCAAGUAGAACGCUGAAGAGAGGAGCUUGCUCUUCUUGGAUGAGUUGCGAACGGGUGAGUAACGCGUAGGUAACCUGCCUUGUAGCGGGGGAUAACUAUUGGAAACGAUAGCUAAUACCGCAUAACAAUGGAUGACCCAUGUCAUUUAUUUGAAAGGGGCAAAUGCUCCACUACAAGAUGGACCUGCGUUGUAUUAGCUAGUAGGUGAGGUAACGGCUCACCUAGGCGACGAUACAUAGCCGACCUGAGAGGGUGAUCGGCCACACUGGGACUGAGACACGGCCCAGACUCCUACGGGAGGCAGCAGUAGGGAAUCUUCGGCAAUGGGGGCAACCCUGACCGAGCAACGCCGCGUGAGUGAAGAAGGUUUUCGGAUCGUAAAGCUCUGUUGUAAGUCAAGAACGAGUGUGAGAGUGGAAAGUUCACACUGUGACGGUAGCUUACCAGAAAGGGACGGCUAACUACGUGCCAGCAGCCGCGGUAAUACGUAGGCCCCGAGCGUUGUCCGGAUUUAUUGGGCGUAAAGCGAGCGCAGGCGGUUUGAUAAGUCUGAAGUUAAAGGCUGUGGCUCAACCAUAGUUCGCUUUGGAAACUGUCAAACUUGAGUGCAGAAGGGGAGAGUGGAAUUCCAUGUGUAGCGGUGAAAUGCGUAGAUAUAUGGAGGAACACCGGUGGCGAAAGCGGCUCUCUGGUCUGUAACUGACGCUGAGGCUCGAAAGCGUGGGGAGCGAACAGGAUUAGAUACCCUGGUAGUCCACGCCGUAAACGAUGAGUGCUAGGUGUUGGAUCCUUUCCGGGAUUCAGUGCCGCAGCUAACGCAUUAAGCACUCCGCCUGGGGAGUACGACCGCAAGGUUGAAACUCAAAGGAAUUGACGGGGGCCCGCACAAGCGGUGGAGCAUGUGGUUUAAUUCGAAGCAACGCGAAGAACCUUACCAGGUCUUGACAUCCCGAUGCUAUUUCUAGAGAUAGAAAGUUACUUCGGUACAUCGGUGACAGGUGGUGCAUGGUUGUCGUCAGCUCGUGCCGUGAGAUGUUGGGUUAAGUCCCGCAACGAGCGCAACCCCUAUUGUUAGUUGCCAUCAUUCAGUUGGGCACUCUAGCGAGACUGCCGGUAAUAAACCGGAGGAAGGUGGGGAUGACGUCAAAUCAUCAUGCCCCUUAUGACCUGGGCUACACACGUGCUACAAUGGUUUGUACAACGAGUUGCGAGUCGGUGACGGCAAGCUAAUCUCUUAAAGCCAAUCUCAGUUCGGAUUGUAGGCUGCAACUCGCCUACAUGAAGUCGGAUUCGCUAGUAAUCGCGGAUCAGCACGCCGCGGUGAAUACGUUCCCGGGCCUUGUACACACCGCCCGUCACACCACGAGAGUUUGUAACACCCGAAGUCGGUGAGGUAACCUUUUGGAGCCAGCCGCCUAAGGUGGGAUAGAUGAUUGGGGUGAAGUCGUAACAAGGUA
rnacentral:rRNA from 1 species